ensembl:processed_transcript 9330154J02Rik RIKEN cDNA 9330154J02 gene
GAGGCCAGGAAGGCUGCCGGGGAGGUGGAAGACGAGGGUACCGAAGAGCUGGGGGCCGACGCGGAGACCCAACCCAGCAGCACUAGCGCCAGCCUUGCCAACCUCAGCCGUCCGUCCCCGGCGGAGGGGCCCCGGGAGCCCGCCCCAGGCAUCGCGGCUCGCGGUUCCCCGGAGCUGGGACAGCGCCCGCUCCGAAGACUCGACCGCCUGGGCCCGGCGGGCGCGAGCCGGCCGCAAGCGUCGACGGCAAACUUUCCUCGCGUGGGAGCAGAGGAGGGGACGCCAAAAGCUGGAACUUGGCUAACCCCGAGCCACCGGGCGUCCCCCUCCCGGAGCGGCACCCCGCCCUUCCCUCCAGUGAGUACGCACGGCGGGUCGGGACACGGGCCUUGGCGCUCCUCCUCCCGCCGCAGCUGGGGUGGGUGGCACCUCCUCAACUCCUUUGUUGGCGCCUCUCUCAGGGCAGGAUCGGAUGAGCGACCUGGGACAAGCGGGAGAGAAGCGUGAGGAGGAGUGACGGCCUCAGCUCUCAGAGUACGAACCAAGUUGUCCCCACACUAGCAACCCGGCCCAAGCUUCUGUGUGCGUCCUUCCUCCCUAGUGGGACGCGGUCCCCACUCCCAGGCGCUAAGCCUACCUCUUCCGGGCCCACACCAUCAGGACCCGGGCCACCUCCCGCCUGGCUCCUGCCCGGAUUGCCCUCCUCCCGCCUAGAACUUCACGCAGACCCCGCGGUGUCCAGCGAGCAAACUUCUCCCUUUUCCGGAUCCCAGCUCCUACCGCCCCGGCCGACCACCUGCCUUCCGGGGUCCCCGCCCCCGCCGCUCCUCCCCCUCCCACCUUGGGAUGAGAGCGAAGUUUCGGGUUACGGGACUCUUAAGAGCUUUUUUUUUUUUUUUUUUUUUUUUUUUUUUGGUACCUCCUUGGAUUAGUGUGAAAAGGGGAGCAGAGCCGUACAGCUGUCGCCUACUCUCGACUCCCCAGUUCCUGGCCACCCAGCUCCCCGAUCCCGAGAGGAUCCAGACAUCUCCAGAAAAACGGAGGGAACCCGCCAACAAAGCGGCCGUGGGACCGUGGGCGGUGUGGCAGCCAGGACCCCCCCCCCGGCUCUCUUCACGCCCUAGUAUAGAAAGGAACCCUGGUCCCGCCUCCAGGCUCCAAGCCUGGCCGCUCGGUCCCCACUGCUCACCUCCGCACCCCGCGCCUGCAAAGCCAACUCCGAGGGCCACCCGAGUCCACGCGCCUUCCCAGCUCCUGCUGCGGGCGCCGACUCUCCUCUCACCCCAGCCCCUGGCCCAACCUCCACGGCUGGGAAAAACCAAGCCGGGGGGCGGGGGAGGGCCAGGGCUGCAGGAGAGAUCGCCGCCGCGCUGGCCACCUCUGCUGCCCCAGGUGGAAGCAGAAGGAGCAGAAGUUCCAGCUCACCUUCGGCUACGAGAUGACUUUGAGAUGACCUGGAGAAAGACCCUGUCUUGAAACAAUCCCAGAAAGAAGAGCAGGCUGAGCCAUUGUCAAGCCAGCUCAUCAGACAGAUCACUGGAAGAAAAAAACCUGACAAGACGCCGCAAGAAAAGGAAACCACAGAGCGCGACCACGUAUGAUUGUAGAUGUAACAUCCUUCCGCUAAAUUAAACCUAAUCAAACCCAGAGACAAGCAAAAAUGACUGUAAUCCAUGACUACGCAGGAUUCACAUCUAGGAAUACAAGGAUGCUUAAAUGAAAAGAAAUUGACUGUGGCAAUACAAAUUACCAAUGGAAACAAAAGAAAACAAACAAACAGACAGAAACAAAAUAUGGCCAUACCAUCUGAUGUGGUAGAGUAUUUAGCAAUAUUCACCAUCCAGUCUGAUAAAAGAAAACACCCUGCCUAAUAUAAAUGAAAGAAGUCCCUAUUCUGGUUAAGAGUACCAGAAACCAAACUAAUACCACAAAGAGCACACCUACAAUGGCAUGUAAUGGCAGGAGAUAUGAUUUCCUGUUAUACUGAUGAUGCACAGGGGAGAAUAUGCUGCAGCCUUAAACAUUCAUAAAAUGAAGAGUUAUAUUUUUAAUUUCUUGUGAUUUUUUUUAUAUAAUAAAAAGUCACAUUGUCAGAGAAUAGAGUUGGUCUGUCUCCUCCUGCCUAGUCUGACUGCCUCAUGUUCUUGCCUGAUUGUCUUAUGUGGCAUGCCCAAUACAAUCUUGAAAAAAAGCUAGGUAAGAGCAGACAUCCUUGUUUUGGUAUUUACUAUCAUGUGAAACCAUUCUGUCUUUAAGCAUUAAAUGUUAUCUUAGCUGUGGAGUUUUACUUCUUGCUGCUAUUACUGUUUUUUUAUAUCUCAAUUUAAUAGAAUUUCAUUGACACACU